AUGCAGUCGAGCGGUAGCACAGAGAGCUUGCUCUCGGGUGACGAGCGGCGGACGGGUGAGUAAUGUCUGGGAAACUGCCUGAUGGAGGGGGAUAACUACUGGAAACGGUAGCUAAUACCGCAUAAUGUCGCAAGACCAAAGUGGGGGACCUUCGGGCCUCAUGCCAUCAGAUGUGCCCAGAUGGGAUUAGCUAGUAGGUGGGGUAACGGCUCACCUAGGCGACGAUCCCUAGCUGGUCUGAGAGGAUGACCAGCCACACUGGAACUGAGACACGGUCCAGACUCCUACGGGAGGCAGCAGUGGGGAAUAUUGCACAAUGGGCGCAAGCCUGAUGCAGCCAUGCCGCGUGUGUGAAGAAGGCCUUCGGGUUGUAAAGCACUUUCAGCGGGGAGGAAGGCGUUAAGGUUAAUAACCUUGGCGAUUGACGUUACCCGCAGAAGAAGCACCGGCUAACUCCGUGCCAGCAGCCGCGGUAAUACGGAGGGUGCAAGCGUUAAUCGGAAUUACUGGGCGUAAAGCGCACGCAGGCGGUCUGUCAAGUCGGAUGUGAAAUCCCCGGGCUCAACCUGGGAACUGCAUUCGAAACUGGCAGGCUAGAGUCUUGUAGAGGGGGGUAGAAUUCCAGGUGUAGCGGUGAAAUGCGUAGAGAUCUGGAGGAAUACCGGUGGCGAAGGCGGCCCCCUGGACAAAGACUGACGCUCAGGUGCGAAAGCGUGGGGAGCAAACAGGAUUAGAUACCCUGGUAGUCCACGCCGUAAACGAUGUCGAUUUGGAGGUUGUGCCCUUGAGGCGUGGCUUCCGGAGCUAACGCGUUAAAUCGACCGCCUGGGGAGUACGGCCGCAAGGUUAAAACUCAAAUGAAUUGACGGGGGCCCGCACAAGCGGUGGAGCAUGUGGUUUAAUUCGAUGCAACGCGAAGAACCUUACCUGGUCUUGACAUCCACAGAACUUUCCAGAGAUGGAUUGGUGCCUUCGGGAACUGUGAGACAGGUGCUGCAUGGCUGUCGUCAGCUCGUGUUGUGAAAUGUUGGGUUAAGUCCCGCAACGAGCGCAACCCUUAUCCUUUGUUGCCAGCGGUCCGGCCGGGAACUCAAAGGAGACUGCCAGUGAUAAACUGGAGGAAGGUGGGGAUGACGUCAAGUCAUCAUGGCCCUUACGACCAGGGCUACACACGUGCUACAAUGGCAUAUACAAAGAGAAGCGACCUCGCGAGAGCAAGCGGACCUCAUAAAGUAUGUCGUAGUCCGGAUUGGAGUCUGCAACUCGACUCCAUGAAGUCGGAAUCGCUAGUAAUCGUAGAUCAGAAUGCUACGGUGAAUACGUUCCCGGGCCUUGUACACACCGCCCGUCACACCAUGGGAGUGGGUUGCAAAAGAAGUAGGUAGCUUAACCUUCGGGAGGG
rnacentral:rRNA from 1 species